AUUGAACGCUGGCGGCAGGCCUAACACAUGCAAGUCGAACGAGUGGCGGACGGGUGAGUAAUGUCUGGGAAACUGCCCGAUGGCGGGGGAUAACUACUGGAAACGGUAGCUAAUACCGCAUACCAUCGGAUGUGCCCAGAUGGGUUUAGCGAGUAGGUGGGGUAACGGCUCACCUAGGCGUCGAUCCCUAGCUGGUCUGAGAGGAUGACCAGACACACUGGGACGGAGACACGGUCCAGACUCCGACGGGAGGCAGCAGUGGUGAAUAUUGCACAAUGGGCGCAAGCCUGAUGCAGCCAUGCCGCGUGUAUGAAGAAGGCCUUCGGGUUGUAAAGGACUUUCAGCGAGGAGGCGUUACUCGCAGAAGAAGCACCGGCUAACUCCGUGCCAGCAGCCGCGGUAAUAC
rnacentral:rRNA from 1 species